GCCGAAGUGGUGAAAUUGGCAGACGCACUGGACUCAAAAUCCAGCGUUAGUGAUAACAUGUCGGUUCGAGUCCGACCUUCGGCA
rnacentral:tRNA from 1 species